rnacentral:rRNA from 1 species
UACGUAGGGUGCAAGCGUUAAUCGGAAUUACUGGGCGUAAAGCGUACGCAGGCGGCUUUGCAAGACAGGUGUGAAAUCCCCGGGCUCAACCUGGGAACUGCAUUUGUGACUGCAUGGCUAGAGUACGGUAGAGGGGGAUGGAAUUCCGCGUGUAGCAGUGAAAUGCGUAGAUAUCGGGAGGAACACCAGUGGCGAAGGCGACUACCUGGCCUGUUCUUGACGCUGAGGCGCGAAAGCUAGGGGAGCAAACGGG